GGAGGGGUGGCAGAGCGGUUGAAUGCGGCGGUCUUGAAAACCGUUGAGGGUUCAUAGCCCUCCGUGGGUUCGAAUCCCACCCCCUCCGCCA
rnacentral:tRNA from 2 species